GACGAACGCUGGCGGCGUGCUUAACACAUGCAAGUCGAACGGAAAGGCCCUGCUUUUGUGGGGUGCUCGAGUGGCGAACGGGUGAGUAACACGUGAGUAACCUGCCCUUGACUUUGGGAUAACUUCAGGAAACUGGGGCUAAUACCGGAUAGGAGCUCCUGCUGCAUGGGGGGGGUUGGAAAGUUUCGGCGGUUGGGGAUGGACUCGCGGCUUAUCAGCUUGUUGGUGGGGUAGUGGCUUACCAAGGCUUUGACGGGUAGGCGGCCUGAGAGGGUGACCGGCCACAUUGGGACUGAGAUACGGCCCAGACUCCUACGGGAGGCAGCAGUGGGGAAUAUUGCACAAUGGGCGGAAGCCUGAUGCAGCAACGCCGCGUGCGGGAUGACGGCCUUCGGGUUGCAAACCGCUUUCGCCUGUGACGAAGCGUGAGUGACGGUAAUGGGUAAAGAAGCACCGGCUAACUACGUG
rnacentral:rRNA from 1 species